GCACAAGCGGUGGAGCAUGUGGUUUAAUUCGACGCAACGCGAAGAACCUUACCUGGGCUCGAAAUGUAGUGGAAUCCGGUGGAAACAUCGGCGCCCAGCAAUGGGCCGCUAUAUAGGUGCUGCAUGGCUGUCGUCAGCUCGUGUCGUGAGAUGUUGGGUUAAGUCCCGCAACGAGCGCAACCCUUGUUACCAGUUGCUACCAUUUAGUUGAGCACUCUGGUGAGACCGCCUCGGAUAACGGGGAGGAAGGCGGGGAUGACGUCAAGUCCUCAUGGCCUUUAUGUCCAGGGCUACACACGUGCUACAAUGGCCGGUACAAACCGCUGCAAACCCGCGAGGGGGAGCUAAUCGGAAAAAGCCGGCCUCAGUUCGGAUUGGAGUCUGCAACUCGACUCCAUGAAGCUGGAAUCGCUAGUAAUCGUGGAUCAGCAUGCCACGGUGAAUACGUUCCCGGGC
rnacentral:rRNA from 1 species